rnacentral:rRNA from 1 species
CCUAACAGCUAGCUCACCUACCUAAAUUCAACAAACAAACAUUAAUAAACCCAAAAACCCUACAACAACAAAACAAACCAUUUUUCCCUCCUAGUAUGGGCGAUAGAAAAGAAACCUUGACGCAAUAGAAAAAGUACCGCAAGGGAAAGCUGAAAGAGAAAUGAAACAACCCAGUAAAGAGAAAAAAAGCAGAGACUAUUCCUCGUACCUUUUGCAUCAUGAAUUAGCUAGUAAACUUCAAGCAAAGUGCACUUUAGUUUGAACCCCCGAAACUAAGCGAGCUACUCCAAGACUGCCUUUUAGGGCUAACCCGUCUCUGUGGCAAAAGAGUGGGAUGAGCUUAGAGUAGAGGUGACAGACCUAACGAGCUUAGUUAUAGCUGGUUACCUACAAAAUGAAUAGAAGUUCAGCCUUUUAGCUUCUUUACUCAACCUUGAUCAACACCUUUAAUUGACAAAUAGAAGCUCAAAGAGUUAUUCAAAGGAGGUACACCUCCCUUGAAAAAAGAUACAACUUUAUAAGCAGGCUAAAGACCAUAAGAUUAUAAGGCAAAAUACCUUAGUAGGCCUAAAAGCAGCCACCCAUAUAGAAAGCGUUAAAGCUCAAGUAUUUAAUAACCCCCUAAUACCGACAAUAACCUCUUAAGCCCCUUACCAAUAGUAGGCCUACUUAUGCAUACAUAAGAGAGACACUGCUAACAUGAGUAAUAAGGGGACUAAGACCCCCUCCAAGGCACCUGUUUACAUCAGAACGAACACACACUGAAAAUUAACGCCCCCAACCCCAGAGGGUAAUAAGAGAAAUACAGUAACCUAGAAAACCUCUUAAACACUUAACGUUAACCCCACACAGGUGUGCCCAAGGAAAGACUUAAAGAAAAAGAAGGAACUCGGCAAACACUGGCCUCGCCUGUUUACCAAAAACAUCGCCUCUUGAAUUAAACCAUAUAAGAGGUCCCGCCUGCCCUGUGACUUGUUAGUUUAACGGCCGCGGUAUUUUGACCGUGCAAAGGUAGCGUAAUCACUUGUCUUUUAAAUGAAGACCAGUAUGAAUGGCAUAACGAGGGCCAAGCUGUCUCCUUUUUCUAGUCAAUGAAAUUGAUCUCCCCGUGCAGAAGCGGGGCUAUUACCAUAAGACGAGAAGACCCUAUGGAGCUUAAGACAAAAGACAGCCCAUGUUAAAAAACUAGAUUAAUAGAAACAACAAAAUGGCCUCUGUCCCUGUGUCUUUGGUUGGGGCGACCGUGGGGAAAUAAAAAACCCCCAUGUGGAAUAGGGCCUACACCCUUAAAGCUAGAGCUACAGCUCUUGCAGACAGAACAUCUGACCAACAAGAUCCGGCAAAGCCGAUCAACGGACCGAGUUACCCUAGGGAUAACAGCGCAAUCCUCUUUUAGAGCCCAUAUCGACAAGAGGGUUUACGACCUCGAUGUUGGAUCAGGACUCCCUAAUGGUGCAGCCGCUAUUAAGGGUUCGUUUGUUCAACGAUUAAAGUCCUACGUGAUCUGAGUUCAGACCGGAGAAAUCCAGGUCAGUUUCUAUCUAUGCACUGCUCUUUCCUAGUACGAAAGGACCGAAAAGAGGAGGCCCAUGCUUUAAGUAAGCCUCAUCCUCACCUAAUGAAAUCAACUAAAUUAGGUAAAAGGACAUAACUCACACUUCCUAAGAAAAAGGCAA